rnacentral:rRNA from 1 species
UACGUAGGAGGCAAGCGUUGUCCGGAGUUACUGGCGUAAGCGCACGCAGGCGUCGCAUCAGUCUGGGGUGACAGUUCCCGGCCUAACCGGGAAAGUGCUCUGGAACUGUGCGACUUGAGGGCUUCAGAGGGAUGUGGAAUUCCAGGUGGAGUGGUGAAAUGCGUAGAGAUCUGGAAGAACACCAAAGGCGAAGGCAGCGAUCCUGGGAAGUUCCUGACGCUCGGGUGCGAAAGC